CCCGUACUCGAAUCAUCAAAAGUGAUGCGUCAAAGUGGCGAGCGGGGCUGGUGAUGAUUCCGCAGCUGAUCCGGGGCAUUAUUGAUCGUCCCGUGUGUCCCGCUGUUGUGAUCCGGUCGCAGCAGGCGAUCCGAUCCUCCGGCUGCAACAAUGGCAUCGUUGUCCCAUAAUCUACACACCACCAUCGGCGGACCUUUUGAAGGUCCUUUGGGCCAAAGUUCUGGCCGUGAUGGCGAACACACACGCCGCCAUAUAGCAGCAUAUGCAAAACACAAUGAGGUUCUUUGAAGCGCAUCGCAUUCCCCUCUUUCAGCUCUUUCAGCUCUACACAAAAGGCGACAAAUUCCCCCUUUUUUGCCAUGUGUGCGUCGUGUUUUCAUUUUUUUUGUCUUUAAUCAGCGGCUGUUGCUUUGAUCACCAUCUCGGGAUCGCCAUCGCCAUUGCCAUUGCCAUCAGCACCACCUGACAAGGUGCUACGUUUAAGUCCCUCCCUGGUUCCUGGCUGCCCAACUAUGUACCUGCGCUCGAAGGUGUGACAAGUCAGCGGAUUUGCGUGUUGCUUCUUGCGAAAUAUUUAAAAUGCAAGAUUAUCGCCCAAAAAGGAUAGCUCGCCGCACUUAAUCCUGCCGCUGCAGCAGGCUCUCCAAUUUCAACCGACUAACUUACACCGAGAAUAUUUAUUGCCGUUUACCCAUAUACUCGAUAUAAAAAAAAGACACAAACGAAGAUCAACCGACCGACCGACCGACCGGCUGAGCGAGCGAUCUUAGCCGGAAUUCUAUUGCCCCCUGUGGCAACAACAACAACUGCAACAAGAACAACAUCAGCGGCAGCAGCGGCAGCAGCACUAACAAUAACAACGUCAACAACAACAGGUUGCCGCCGCCUGAAGUGCUUCGUGGCCCAGACAAACGUUAAGAUUGUAAUAACCAUGUUAAAAGCAAUUUACGUUUAAAGUGCUACCGUGAUACGCCGCCGAUGCGUUUCUUGAUUAAGAACAGAGGGGAUGCUGGAAAAAAAGGAAAGGCAGGGAGGAGACGAGGAGGUCCAGGAACUGGACUUGCAUUUAUUUGGCGGCAAGAAAUGCGCAUACCCGUUACCUGACCAGCAAUAGGUCCACUUAACACGCGCGUCGCACAAUGCGCCUCAAAACACAAAUGAGCAGAGUUCUGCGCAUGCGUCGCUGUUGCCGCUGCUGCUGCUGCUGCUGAUGUUGCUGCUGCCCCAACGGUGGCGUUGGUAACCUCAGAAAAUCUGUGCUGGCGGCGCGCUUUGAUGUUCGGAAUGGCGUGUGCCCCAAUGCAGAGAUUUUCGCUUUGUUGUUUCGCCGACUUUGUCUACGUCUUCGUUGCCGGCCAACAACAACACCAUCGCCAUGCAACAGCAAUUUGCCGCCAAGUGGACCGCAGCAGCAGCAGCAGCAGCAAAAACCUGAGGAGCGUGCAACAUUGGAGCGUGCGAUCCGAGAGAGUGCCACCAGAAACACCUGGUGACCAUGCAACAUCACUGACCUCCGUCAAUCGAGAGCAAUGCAAUUAUGAACCCCGGCUGGAAGAAAUUAAAGAUGCUCGCUCCGCCGGCUGAUGGAUGAGAAAUGCUGCUGCCGACUGGAGAUUGGAUGCUGGAUUCUGGAUGCUGGAGCCUCGGCGCACCUGUUGCGUUUCCCACAGCGAGCGGACGCUUUGGUUUUUCGCAAAAUAAAGAUGAAAAAACACCGGAGAACAGUUGUGCAGCGGAUCCUGAAAUCGGGCAAAAGGAUCAAAGGACGUGACCGUGACUGGGCCGAACCGAUAAUAAAGUUGUGCAUUAAAUGAAAUUUUAAUUGCUUAUCGGCGACCGGCGAUCCGGGAGCCCAUCUGUUGGGAUUAGAGCGGCCGAAUGGCCGACUCGAUUGAUGUCAAGCGAUCGGUCGGUCGGCGCUUUGAAGAUUAUGCCCAAAGUUAUGAGGUUGCGGUAGAGGCUCUGUAUUCCAGGUGCUCCGUUCUCCAGGUGAUCGGAUCGGCCUAUGCGAAAUUAUAUAGCUCAGCAGCGUUGGUAGCGAUGUAGCAGCUUUAACUACGCAGUGCCUGUCGCUUCCUCGCCGUCCUCUUUCUCGUCAUCGUCAUCGUCAUCAUCCUCAUCAUCAUCAUCAUCAUCAUCAUCAUCAUCACCGUCAUCAUCUUCCGCUGGGGCAUCGCAUCAGCUGGCGCUGCUGCUUGUUGCUUGCUGCUUGCUAUUUGCUGCAUGCGGCAGAAGAUGAAACGCGGCGGCACAACUUUGAUGCGGCCAAGAUCAAAGCCGCCGAUUGUUUACAUAAUAGUGGCCUUUGAAACGGAACAAUAGAAUGCCAGGAUCAAAGACACCGACCAGUUUACCCGGUUAGUGCGCUUAAGCGAAAUGAAUGUCCAUGUCCGUCCGCCCGUGAUCUGUUUUUCCUGGCCCCACACCGCAAGAAAAUGUAUGCUUUUUGGGAUCAAUAAAAACCAUUUGAGUAUGCUUUAUCAAAUCAACAAAUACUAACUAUCUAGUUUUUCAGUGAGUACUUGUUUUUAACCAAGUCAGCUAAAAUGUUUAGUUAAUUCAUUUUGGACAAAGGUUUUGUUGCAGUGUAGU
ensembl:ncRNA lncRNA:CR45998 long non-coding RNA:CR45998